CUGCGACACUCGCCCGCCUCCAUCUCCGGUCGCCCAUGCACACAACCAGUCGACAAUUCAUCCAAGCAAGUGAUUCCAUAAAUUUCAAAUCUAGGAUGAGGCAUAUAAUAAUGCUCAGUAUUCAGGCAUAUGAAACUGCAUCUUACGCAUGUGAGCCAUUCAAAGCUGAUACAAGGUGAGCCACGCAAAGCUGGAAUGUCUCUUUCG